rnacentral:rRNA from 1 species
AGCAGCCGCGGUAAUUCCAGCUCCAAUAGCGUAUAUUAAAGUUGUUGCAGUUAAAAAGCUCGUAGUUGAAUUUUGGGUUUGGCCGAUUGGUCCGUUCUUGUAACGAGUACUGGUCGGUCGGGCCUCAUCGCCUGGGGAUGCGUAAUGCCCUUUAUUGGGUGUUGCGAGUAGCCAGGACUUUUACCUUGAAAAAAUUAGAGUGUUUAAAGCAGGCAUAUGCCGGAAUACAUUAGCAUGGAAUAAUAGAAUAGGACGAUGAUUCUAUUUUGUUGGUUUCUAGGACCAUCGUAAUGAUUAAUAGGGAUAGUUGGGGGCAUUAGUAUUCAAUUGUCAGAGGUGAAAUUCUUGGAUUUAUUGAAGACUAACUACUGCGAAAGCAUUUGCCAAGGAUGUUUUCAUUAAUCAAGAACGAAAGUUAGGGGAUCGAAGACGAUCAGAUACCGUCGUAGUCUUAACCAUAAACUAUGCCGACUAGGGAUCGGGCGAUGUUGUUUCAAUGACUCGCUCGGCACCUUAUAC